rnacentral:rRNA from 1 species
UAGGGAAUAUUGGUAAUGUGCGAAAGCGCGAACCAGCAACGCCGCGUGAACGAUGAAGGCCUUCGGGUCGUAAAGUGCUUUUAGAGAGGAUGAGGAAGGACAGUACUUUCUGAAUGAGCCUCGGCUAACUACGUGCCAGCAGCCGCGGUAAAACGUAGGAGGCUAGCGUUAUCCGGAUUUACUGGGCGUAAAGCGCAUGCAGGUGGUUUUGUAAGUUGGAUGUGAAAGCUCCUGGCUUAACUGGGAGAGGUCGUUCAAAACUACAAGACUUGAGAUUGGUAGAGGAAAAUGGAAUUCCGGGUGUAGUGGUGAAAUGCGUAGAUAUCCGGAGGAACACCAGUGGCGAAAGCGGUUUUCUGGACCAAUUCUGACACUCAGAUGCGAAAGCUAAGGUAGCAAACG